CCUGAACCAGCUAAUCAAGCUCUUACUAGGCAUAGAAACUUCCAGUCAGGUGUGUUGAGGCAAGUUGAGGCUAAACUCUGCAGGACACCAGCCCUCCAGGACUGAGUUUGGACACCCCUGUCAUAGAGGCUUCAUGGGUUAUUUGUAUUAAAUUUUUUGGCAUUUUUGUCUUUAUUGGGAUAGGACAAAUCAGAACUGACAGCAAGCGAAGUGGGAGAGAGAUAGGGGGUGGGAUCAGGAAAGGUCCUUGAGUUGGGAUUCAAACUCGGGACACCUGUAGUGCAACCAUGCUGUAUGUCAGCAUGCUGCCCACAAGGCUAUUGGCGCUGACUGGAUGGGCUAUUUUGACAUAGAUCAGUCGCUUAACAACCAGAACACCCUAACAUUGUGGUCUCAACUUUUGCACUGNAGGAAUGAGAUUCAUUCUUUUUCCUCUAACACACACGCACAAGUCUUCAGCUCCUCACAGGAGUUCACAAACAGGAACCAGUUCCUCCGGGACUGCAGCAAGAGAAACGGGUCAAGCAGGCCAGGCAGAGAAAGAAAACAGCAGGUUGAUGAAGAACUCUCGCCCGCAGGCAGAAACUGCAUGUCCCCGCCUAGAAAGAGAAUAUGGGAUUCAGGGAAAGCUUUGUUCCCUAUGGAGAAAAAAAAAUGAGUGUGUGAAAAUGUACUUCCAUAAAAGUGUGAGAACA
rnacentral:lncRNA from 1 species